GAGACGGAUGGUGGUGAUGGUUGCACAAGAAUGUGACUGUACGUUAUGCCACUGAACUGUACGCUUAAAAAUGGUUACGAUGGCAAAUUUAAAAAAAAUCGUAUUCUAAGUUCUCUCAAGUUGUCAACAGUGGGCUUUCUUUUAAGUUGCAUUUACAAGAAAUAAAUUAAAAUAUCAGAUGGGAGUUGUCAUUAGAGCAGUUAAGAAUCACAGAUGCCGUAUUCCCGGGCAAGUGUCCUCCCCUCCCGGAGCCUGAGUUUCCUCACGGGGUAAUGGGGAUGAUGAUGGUGCCUCCCUCUGGGGCCACUGCGAGGAUUCCAUGAUGCCUGCAAGGUGGUCCAGCGGAGGCCGGCGUCCAGGAAGCACUCAGCACCCAGCAGUCCUUAGUCCUGGCAGAUAUGCCCCAGGCGUGUGGGGUUUGGGAACAGGAGCAGCACAGGCCCUAGUCAGAGGAGAAAAGACCCCUUGCCUGACAGUACACCUGGGGAAACUGAGGCCUGGAGGAGUCAAGAGACUUGUCCAAGGUCUCUGGGCUUCCCUUGAACCAGAAUGUGGUUUUCCACGUCUGUAUCGGUGAGCAAGGCUCGGUUGUGCUGCGUAACGAGCGAGCCCCACAUCGCAGUGUCUCACACAGCACAAGUCUGUUCUGCAUCCAGCAAAGUCUGCCGUGGGUCCAGGAGCUUCUCCAGGGCAACUGCCCUCCACGCGAAGGCCCAGGGAUCCAGGCUGCCUCCCGCUGGUGGCGCCUCCAUCUCUGGGUCCCCGAGGCAGGGAAAGAGCAUCACGUCCCUGCCUCCCACACUCCACUGGCCAGCACCAGUCACAUGGCUUCACCCCACGCCUGAGACGGAGAGGAGAACCAUGGGUAAGCCCCGGAAGUUUCUUCUCACCAUGCGAGUGGGACGAAGGCCAGUGGACAGCUGUCUCCAGGACAUGCUCACAGUGAACUGAGUCAGAGAGAAAAGGGUUUGAGGCUGGAAUGACUCCCCCUCCUACCCAAGCCCCCCGCUCCUUCCCAGAGCAGCCACGGUGAGCCGCGCUAACGGCCGGUUUACAAGCAGGGGUGUUGACGUGCCUUGUGGACAUACAGUUGUUCUCGGCCACUCCUUGAAGAAGCCGGCGGGGGUCUGUCCAGCCUCUUGCUCUCCCACCUGGCGGUGCCUCCACCUGUACGUAAUCAGUGCCCCCGAUGGGUGUCCAGGCCGUUUGCAAAGUUCUGCUAUUAUAAACAGUGAUGCAAUGAAUUUCCUGCACGUUUUCCCUUGUCACCCAUGUAAGUGUUUCUGUGGUGUAAAUUCCUAAAAAUGGAAUCGCUUGGUCAGAGGGCAGGUGCAGCGAGCAGUCUGACAGCUUUCCAGCGGCAGGGGCUGCUCCAGGGUCAGAAGGAGCUUUUAAGAAGUGUUGCUAAUGGAGCCGAGUGAGUUUCGGGGACCAGGCCUGCAGCCACUCUUCCUGCACAAGGGAUCACACGUCUGCCCACCUCUCCCAGCCGCCAGCCCCCUCCGCUCCUGCAUCUCCCGCCUGGAAUGCUGUGCCAGCCUCUUCCCGGUGCCCACCCGGCCUCCAGGAUGACCCCUGACCACCAGUGCUCCACGCAGGGCCCCGUGGGCCUGGGGAAGUGUCAGCCCGGCUCACCACGCCCCAGUAACUCCCGUCGCCCUGACCAAGUCUAUUUCUUCCCUCAGCUUUGAAGGCUCCGGGACCAGGUUCCUGCCACCCCUGCAGCCUCCUGCCUCUCCACCCCCCACCCCUGCUCUAGCCAGACUGGCUACUUUCCAGGCCUCGGUGCCCUUGCACACACUGUCCAGAGGCCUGGAAUGUUCUCUCUUAUCAUCACAUCGGCUGUUCAUUCUUUAGAACUCAGCGGAGGCUUCCCCUCCUCUAGAGAGCUGCCGCGGCCCCUGUGGCCAUGGUCUGUUUACUUGUCUGAUGCCCCCACUAGAUUGUCCCUAAUCCUCUAGCCCAAGGCCUGGCCGCCAGCUGGAGUCACCACUGCUGGUGGAAGGAUGGCUCAGUCCCACCCUCUCCCCUUCCCGCCCUGCCCCCAGCCCCGCUCCCCACUCCUUCCCUGGGGCUCAUUCUCCUUUCCCGACCUCAUUGCUCUCUGCAGUGCAGCACUGUGCUAAGAGCAGCCAUGCUGAAGUCACACACACCUGAGCCCUCACCCCAGCUGUGCCACCUCGUGGUGCUGAACCUCAGUCCUCCCGUCUGCAGAACGGGGAGAACAUAGCACGACCGGCCUAGAGCUGUCGUAAGGGUUAAAUGAAGAGCGUUUGUCACGUCCUUGGACAUCACAGGACUUCAGUAAAUGUUAACUCUUCUUGUU